rnacentral:RNase_P_RNA from 1 species
GGACUCGACUGAGCGGACGCAUAUUACCAUAUCGAAAGAUCGUAAUGUGAGGAAAGUCCGGACUCCACAGAGCAGGGUAACGGCUAACGGCCGCCGAGGGUGACCUCAGGGAAAGUGCAACAGAAAUAAACCGCCGAUUUUACGGUAAGGAUGGAAAGGCGAGGUAAGAGCUCACCGACGCGGGGGUAACUCCGCGUGCCAUGUAAACCCUAUCCGGAGCAACACCGCACGGUACUAUAACUUGCUCGGUUGUACCAUAGGUGGCAAGGACAUGCGCGGCAACGUGUAUGCAAGAUAGAUGUUCGCUCACGACAAAAUCCGGCUUAUAGGUCGAGUCCACCC